rnacentral:rRNA from 1 species
GAUAGGUUAAGUUAAUAAGGGCGCAUGGUGGAUGCCUUGGCACUAGAAGGC